AGGACGAACGCUGGCGGCGUGCUUAACACAUGCAAGUCGAACGAGGCGCUUGCGCCUAGUGGCGAACGGGUGAGUAACACGUGAGCAACCUGCCCUUGGCUCUGGGAUAGCCUCCGGAAACGGGGAUUAAUACCGGACAUGACCUUCUCCUGCAUGGGGGGAGGGUGGAAAGUUUUUCGGCCAGGGAGGGGCUCGCGGCCUAUCAGCUUGUUGGGGGGGUAACGCCCACCAAGGCGACGACGGGUAGCCGGCCUGAGAGGGCGACCGGCCACACUGGGACUGAGACACGGCCCAGACUCCUACGGGAGGCAGCAGUGGGGAAUAUUGCACAAUGGGGGAAACCCUGAUGCAGCGACGCCGCGUGCGGGAUGAAGGCCUUCGGGUUGUAAACCGCUUUCAGCAGGGGCGAAUUCAGACGGUACCUGCAGAAGAAGCGCCGGCUAACUACGCGCCAGCAGCCGC
rnacentral:rRNA from 1 species